GAUGAACGCUGGCGGCGUGCUUAACACAUGCAAGUCGAGCGAAGCACUUAAGUUGAUUUCUUCGGAUUGAUUCUUAAUUGACUGAGCGGCGGACGGGUGAGUAACGCGUGGGUGACCUGCCCCAUACCGGGGGAUAACAGCUGGAAACGGCUGCUAAUACCGCAUAAGCGCACAGAGCUGCAUGGCUCAGUGUGAAAAACUCCGGUGGUAUGGGAUGGGCCCGCGUCUGAUUAGGCAGUUGGCGGGGUAACGGCCCACCAAACCGACGAUCAGUAGCCGGCCUGAGAGGGCGACCGGCCACAUUGGGACUGAGACACGGCCCAAACUCCUACGGGAGGCAGCAGUGGGGAAUAUUGCACAAUGGGGGAAACCCUGAUGCAGCGACGCCGCGUGAGCGAAGAAGUAUUUCGGUAUGUAAAGCUCUAUCAGCAGGGAAGAUAAUGA
rnacentral:rRNA from 1 species